rnacentral:rRNA from 1 species
GACGAACGCUGGCGGCGUGCUUAACACAUGCAAGUCGAACGGUGAAGCGCCUUCCUUUUUGGUGGGUGUGGAUGAGUGGCGAACGGGUGAGUAACACGUGAGUAACCUGCCCCCUUCUUCUGGAUAACCGCAUGAAAGUGUGGCUAAUACGGGAUAUUCUGGGUCUGUCGCAUGAUGGGUCUGGGAAAGAUAUUGUUUCGGUGGGGGAUGGGCUCGCGGCCUAUCAGCUUGUUGGUGGGGUGAUGGCCUACCAAGGCGGUGACGGGUAGCCGGCCUGAGAGGGUGGACGGUCACACUGGGACUGAGACACGGCCCAGACUCCUACGGGAGGCAGCAGUGGGGAAUAUUGCACAAUGGGCGCAAGCCUGAUGCAGCGACGCCGCGUGAGGGAUGGAGGCCUUCGGGUUGUGAACCUCUUUCGCCAGUGAGGCAGGCCUGCCUCGUUUGUGGGUGGGUUGACGGUAGCUGGAUAAGAAGCGCCGGCUAACUACGUG